rnacentral:rRNA from 1 species
GGGUCAGUAGGUUGGUCGUGCCACCGGUACGUACUGGUCUCACUGAUUCCUCCUUCCUGAAGAACCGUAAUGCCAUUAAUUUGGUGUUGCGGGGAAACAGGACUGUUACUUUGAAAAAAUUAGAGUGAUUAAAGCAAGCUAACGCUUGAAUACAUUAGCAUGGAAUAAUGGAAUAGGACGAUCGAUCCUAUUUUGUUGGUUUCUAGGAUUGACGUA